rnacentral:ncRNA from 1 species
GUCAACUACCCCGCCCUAAAGGGCGGAGCUUGAAGUCGAAAGACAACAAGCCAGGUUGAAACAGGGAAAGCGGUAACCAGCCCGCUACGUUAGCAACAGGUCGUCAAGACGCACCAGCGAAUGCUUCCUCAGUUCGCUGCUCUGCAAGGCUUUAAUCAUGCAGACCAAAGGUAAAGGGUCGAAGGUUUUAGUCGCUGCUCGCAAGAGCAGGAGCCGGUUGCUGACAUUCCCGAGGGGAGAUGUGCCGAAAGGCUUGCGUCACCAGGCCCGUAAGGGC